rnacentral:rRNA from 1 species
GACGAACGCUGGCGGCGUGCUUAACACAUGCAAGUCGAACGGUGAAGCUCCAGCUUGCUGGAGUGGAUCAGUGGCGAACGGGUGAGUAACACGUGAGCAACCUGCCCCUGACUCUGGAAUAAGCGCUGGAAACGGCGUCUAAUACUGGAUACGAGAAGGGUCCGCAUGGGCACUUUCUGGAAAGUUUUUCGGUUGGGGAUGGGCUCGCGGCCUAUCAGCUUGUUGGUGAGGUAAUGGCUCACCAAGGCGACGACGGGUAGCCGGCCUGAGAGGGCGACCGGCCACACUGGGACUGAGACACGGCCCAGACUCCUACGGGAGGCAGCAGUGGGGAAUAUUGCACAAUGGGCGAAGGCCUGAUGCAGCGACGCCGCGUGAGGGAUGACGGCCUUCGGGUUGUAAACCUCUUUCAGCAGGGAAGAAGCGAAAGUGACGGUACCUGCAGAAGAAGCACCGGCUAACUACGU